rnacentral:rRNA from 1 species
AUUGAACGCUGGCGGCAUGCUUUACACAUGCAAGUCGAACGGUAACAGGUUAAGCUGACGAGUGGCGAACGGGUGAGUAAUGCAUCGGAACGUGCCCGGUCGUGGGGGAUAACGCAGCGAAAGCUGCGCUAAUACCGCAUACGAUCUGAGGAUGAAAGCGGGGGACCGUAAGGCCUCGCGCGAUCGGAGCGGCCGAUGUCAGAUUAGGUAGUUGGUGGGGUAAAGGCUCACCAAGCCAACGAUCUGUAGCUGGUCUGAGAGGACGACCAGCCACACUGGGACUGAGACACGGCCCAGACUCCUACGGGAGGCAGCAGUGGGGAAUUUUGGACAAUGGGCGAAAGCCUGAUCCAGCAAUGCCGCGUGCAGGAAGAAGGCCUUCGGGUUGUAAACUGCUUUUGUACGGAGCGAAAAGGUCUCCUCUAAUACAGGGGGCUCAUGACGGUACCGUAAGAGUAAGCACCGGCUAACUACGUGCCAGCCGCCGCAGUAACAC